AAACAGGAGCCUCCUCGGGCCUUCACUGGACUUGAGCUCUCUGGAUUCUCCGGAAAAUUAUGGGGCCACACUUGGGCCCCCGAACAGGAACUUUAGUUUGGGUCUUUCCCUUCUAAGUUCAGCUGCUGACAGACCGAACAGCAGGGUGGAGGAUUAUCUGGCCAAGAUGCAGAGGGAGUUGGACAGGAACAUAUCAAAGGAAUUAAGCAGCGCCACAGCAGAGCUGGACGCAGCCUCUGUUCGGAUGUCCCCGGUGGGCUCUGCCUCCAGAGUGGAGCUGGACCCCGUCAGCAGAGCAACGCAACAGUAUUUGGAGGUACUGAAGAAGAAUAACAGGAUCUGAAUACACAUCACAUUUGUUUCC